AACGAACGCUGGCGGCAGGCUUAACACAUGCAAGUCGAGCGCCCCGCAAGGGGAGCGGCAGACGGGUGAGUAACACGUGGGGACAUACCCUUUUCUACGGAAUAACGCAUGGAAACGUGUGCUAAUACCGUAUACGCCCUUAGGGGGAAAGAUUUAUCGGAGAAGGAUUGGCCCGCGGUGGAUCAGCUAGUUGGUGGGGUAAAGGCCUACCAAGGCGACGAUCCAUAGCUGGUCUGAGAGGAUGAUCAGCCACAUUGGGACUGAGACACGGCCCAAACUCCUACGGGAGGCAGCAGUGGGGAAUAUUGGACAAUGGGCGCAAGCCUGAUCCAGCCAUGCCGCGUGAGUGAUGAAGGCCUUAGGGUUGUAAAGCUCUUUCACCGGAGAAGAUAAUGACGGUAUCCGGAGAAGAAGCCCCGGCUAACUUCGUGCCAGCCGCCGCCGUAACAC
rnacentral:rRNA from 1 species